UGUGAAUCAGGCUGGAAACACAGCUGAUCACAGGCAUGAGGACGAGGCAUCGGGGCCCAAGCCCCCAGCCACAGCUGAAAGGACUGAUGAGCAACCAGUGGAACUGGCUCUGAUCCAAGGUGAUCCAGCCUGCCUCUGUGAGCUGAGUCAAUCAGCCAACACAGAACAUUACCUACCACAGGUAGUGAAAGGACUACAGGUCCAAGAGACCUACACAGACGACGCUGUCCUGUCUCUAUGGACAGACAGGUCUGCCAUCAGUCAAGAUCUUUAUGAGUCUUUAACUGAAAACCAAUCAGAUUUAGACUUAGUU